rnacentral:tRNA from 1 species
GGCUUAGUAGUUUAUUUAAAACUUUUGACUGUUAAUCACAUGAAGGGUGGUGAAGCACCCCUUAGCUA